CUCCUACGGGAGGCAGCAGUGGGGAAUAUUGCACAAUGGGCGCAAGCCUGAUGCAGCCAUGCCGCGUGUAUGAAGAAGGCCUUCGGGUUGUAAAGUACUUUCAGCAGUGAGGAAGGUGGGUAUGUUAAUAGCAUAUUCAUUUGACGUUAGCUGCAGAAGAAGCACCGGCUAACUCCGUGCCAGCAGCCGCGGUAAUACGGAGGGUGCGAGCGUUAAUCGGAAUUACUGGGCGUAAAGCGCAUGCAGGUGGUUUGUUAAGUCAGAUGUGAAAGCCCGGGGCUCAACCUCGGAAUUGCAUUUGAAACUGGACAAACUAGAGUACUGUAGAGGGGGUAGAAUUUCAGGUGUAGCGGUGAAAUGCGUAGAGAUCUGAAGGAAUACCGGUGGCGAAGGCGGCCCCCUGGACAGAUACUGACACUCAGAUGCGAAAGCGUGGGGAGCAAACAGGAUUAGAUACCCUGGUAG
rnacentral:rRNA from 1 species